rnacentral:lncRNA from 1 species
CAAAGAGCUGCCUCACUAAGACUCUACACCUGAACACUUGUACCUAAUUGGGGCUAUUAACAGGCUAGGUCUGGGACUUCCUAUUCACACCUGUCUUUUUACUGGUAUAAUAAAAAAGGAAUUCUAGACUGCAGACAGAACGUUCUUUGAAGAAACUGAAAGGAAGAUUUGUACAAAUAACGGAAAUUUUGGUUCAGUGGCUGAGCCAAAGGCAUUGCAAGGUGAAGACGUGCAGAUAUCUUUAAGGUUCUUGUUUUAGACU